UACGGAGGAUGCGAGCGUUAUCCGGAUUUAUUGGGUUUAAAGGGUGCGUAGGCGGGCUGUUAAGUCAGCGGUCAAAUGUCGGGGCUCAACCCCGGCCUGCCGUUGAAACUGGCGGCCUCGAGUGGGCGAGAAGCAUGCGGAAUGCGUGGUGUAGCGGUGAAAUGCAUAGAUAUCACGCAGAACUCCGAUUGCGAAGGCAGCAUACCGGCGCCCGACUGACGCUGAGGCACGAAGGCGUGGGUAUCGAACAGG
rnacentral:rRNA from 1 species